rnacentral:misc_RNA from 1 species
CGGAUAACACAGAUAAGAGAUACUGAUUGUAUAUCUCAAUGGUCAUUUUCUGGGCUUGGGAAUCAGAAGCAGCGGUUCUUUCUUUUGCAGUGUUACUCCAAACUUUUCAGUCAUGUCUAGCUCAGUGGGACGUUCUCUGUGAGGAAGCUCCCAAUCAAAGAAAUGAACAAGCGAAGCAAGGACUAAGGGAAUUAUUAUUGCAGCCAUUGGCAGGCCUGGG